UACGAAGGGGGCUAGCGUUGCUCGGAAUCACUGGGCGUAAAGCGCACGUAGGCGGCUUUUUAAGUCAGGGGUGAAAUCCUGGAGCUUAACUCCAGAACUGCCUUCGAUACUGGCGAUCUCGAGUCCGGAAGAGGUGAGUGGAACUCCUAGUGUAGAGGUGGAAUUCGUAGAUAUUAGGAAGAACACCAGUGGCGAAGGCGACUCACUGGUCCGGUACUGACGCUGAGGUGCGAAAGCGUGGGGAGCAAACAGG
rnacentral:rRNA from 1 species